rnacentral:rRNA from 1 species
CUCAGGAUGAACGCUAGCGGCAGGCUUAACACAUGCAAGUCGAGGGGCAUCGGGAGUAGCAAUACGUUGCCGGCGACCGGCGCAAGGGUGCGUAACGCGUGAGCAACAUGCCCGUAUCAGGGGGAUAAUCCAUGGAAACGUGGUCUAAUACCCCAUAGUAAUUAUGUAAGGCAUCUUAUAUAAUUUAAAGCUUUGGUGGAUACGGAUUGGCUCGCGUGACAUUAGCUGGAUGGUAAGGUAACGGCUUACCAUGGCUACGAUGUCUAGGGGUUCUGAGAGGAAGGUCCCCCCACACUGGAACUGAGACACGGUCCAGACUCCUACGGGAGGCAGCAGUGAGGAGUAUUGGACAAUGGAUGGAAUCUGAUCCAGCCAUGCCGCGUGCAGGGAAAGACGGCCCUAUGGGUUGUAAACUGCUUUUGUAUGGGAGCAAUAAGGGCUACGUGUAGUCCGAUGAGAGUACCAUACGAAUAAGCACCGGCUAACUCCGUGCCAGCAGCCGC